CACGGGGGGAGCAAGCGUUGUUCGGAAUCACUGGGCGUAAAGGGCGUGUAGGCGGUCAGGUAAGUGGGACGUGAAAUGCCUCGGCUCACCCGAGGAGCGGCGUCCCAUACUGCUUGGCUUGAGUACGGGAGAGGAUGUGGGAAUUCCUGGUGUAGCGGUGAAAUGCGUAGAUAUCAGGAGGAACACCGGUGGCGAAGGCGGGUCUCUGGACAGUUCCUGACACUGAGACACGAAGGCCAGGGGAGCAAACGGG
rnacentral:rRNA from 1 species